rnacentral:rRNA from 1 species
CCCUACGGGACGCAGCAGUGGGGAAUAUUGCACAAUGGGGGAAACCCUGAUGCAGCGACGCCGCGUGAGUGAAGAAGUAUUUCGGUAUGUAAAGCUCUAUCAGCAGGGAAGAAAAAAGACGGUACCUGACUAAGAAGCCCCGGCUAACUACGUGCCAGCAGCCGCGGUAAUACGUAGGGGGCAAGCGUUAUCCGGAUUUACUGGGUGUAAAGGGAGCAUAGACGGCUGUGCAAGUCUGAAGUGAAAGCCCGUGGCUCAACCGCGGAACUGCUUUGGAAACUGUAUAGCUUGAGUACUGGAGAGGC